UACGAAGGGGCUAGCGUUGCUCGGAAUCACUGGGCGUAAAGGGUGCGUAGGCGGGUCUUUUAAGUCAGGGGUGAAAUCCUGGAGCUCAACUCCAGAACUGCCUUUGAUACUGAAGAUCUUGAGUUCGGGAGAGGUGAGUGGAACUGCGAGUGUAGAGGUGAAAUUCGUAGAUAUUCGCAAGAACACCAGUGGCGAAGGCGGCUCACUGGCCCGAUACUGACGCUGAGGUGCGAAAGCGUGGGGAGCAAACAGGG
rnacentral:rRNA from 1 species